rnacentral:lncRNA from 1 species
ACAGCACGAAGUUGUUGGUGCUAUUAGGUUUUCAGUCCUUGGAUGAAGAAAUGUACGGUUAGGAUGAUGUGGGCCCUCUAGGGUUGAGUGAGUUAUUGGUUGAAUACUAUAAUCUAACGGGUGAAAUUAAUCAAAAGGUUAAUCUAAUGACGGAAAACUCGGUAGCACAAAGUGCUUGGUGCUAUCGAUAGUAUUCCAGCUGGACUCUUUAUAAAUACUAACUUCUCUCUUCGAUUUUGUACGUUCUAUUAUCUCCUUG